rnacentral:lncRNA from 1 species
GUGUGACAUCCAUUUCUGAAUACACUGUGUCAACCCAUCCUGUGUAUAAUACCACUGAAUUUCACCCAGUUACACAGAUAUGGAUCUGGUUCAGCAAGGAUGCUUUACCUUUCCUGGAAAAAAUAAUAAUUUCCAGCCUAAGUUAAAGAUAAGAUAAACCAUGGGAACCUGUUCCACAUAAAACCUACUGGAAUUUCUUUAUUGGCUUACAGAGAUGCCCAGCUAAUUCACCAGUGUCAUUUUUCAAACAUCAUCUAUACGUACAGUGUGUACAGGCUCUUCAGUAGUGAGUGGACAACAAACAGGGAUACGGGACAGUGAAUGCUAAAUGGCAAGGGAAGAACAAAUUAUUUCAAGCACCUGACUGUCAGGGUCAUUACUGCAAUACAUCUCAGCGAAGACCAAAAGGAAGGAGUGGGAGGCUGAUACUAAAGUGAUUUAUCCAGCAUCUACAGAUGUUUCACCAAGAAUCACAGAAAGGCCUCAAAUCAGCAUCCUUGUCCAUACUGCACAGCCAAGACAGAUUGCACUUUUCCUUUUCUACUUGUAUAACAGGUGAGUAAUAUACAAGAGACCCAAUUCAGUCU